rnacentral:rRNA from 1 species
UACGUAGGUCCCGAGCGUUGUCCGGAUUUAUUGGGCGUAAAGCGAGCGCAGGUGGUUUAAUAAGUCUGAUGUAAAAGGCAGUGGCUCAACCAUUGUGUGCAUUGGAAACUGUUAGACUUGAGUGCAGUAGAGGAGAGUGGAAUUCCAUGUGUAGCGGUGAAAUGCGUAGAUAUAUGGAGGAACACCGGUGGCGAAAGCGGCUCUCUGGUCUGUAACUGACGCUGAGGCUCGAAAGCGUGGGGAGCAAACAGG